UGGGGAAUAUUGGACAAUGGGCGCAAGCCUGAUCCAGCAAUGCCGCGUGUGUGAAGAAGGCCUUCGGGUUGUAAAGCACUUUUAUCAGGAGCGAAAUACUACCGGCUAAUAUCCGGUGGGGCUGACGGUACCUGAGGAAUAAGCACCGGCUAACUUCGUGCCAGCAGCCGCGGUAAUACGAAGGGUGCAAGAGUUAAUCGGAAUUACUGGGCGUAAAGCGUGCGUAGGCGGUUUGUUAAGUCUGCUGUGAAAUCCCCGGGCUCAACCUGGGAAUGGCAGUGGAUACUGGCAAACUAGAGUGUGUCAGAGGAGGGUGGAAUUCCCGGUGUAGCGGUGAAAUGCGUAGAGAUCGGGAGGAACAUCAGUGGCGAAGGCGGCCAUCUGGGACAACACUGACGCUGAGGCACGAAAGCGUGGGGAGCAAACA
rnacentral:rRNA from 1 species